AUGAGCUCGGCGGACAUAUUUCUGGCCUAAUUACCAGGGUGCACCCGUAAGCUAAUCGAACGCACCCAUUGUAAACUAUGAUCAAUGCAGGUAACUCUAUGCGCAGUGCAUGUUGCAGUGGGCGUGGUUCAAACUGAAGUGAGUUCACACUCAAGAGCCGGAUAAUUGUUAAUUUGAUUUGCCUGCCAUCACUUGACCAAACACAACUAAAACAUGCAUGACUGGAACUAAAAAUAAACCCAUAUUCACUGUGGUGGAUAAUAAGGUCAGGUAUCGCCCAUGAUUGACUAUAUUUUAUGAGGUAACACGGUUUCAAGGAAGCUCCAUCAGGUUUGGGAGUUAUUUUAUUUUCAUACAUUACAUAUUACAAUAUUGUGGCGGAGUCCUCCCCUAGACUAGCCAAAGUUGUCGUCCGCCUGGGGCAGGCGACUUCCUUCGGGCGAACCUGGGAAGGGGACGUACCCGGAGUAGGGCCUCGGCCGUCCUACGAGCGGUCUAAUAAGAAGGCCGGGGGAGCAGACUCGUUGCCGGGAGGUCUACCACCACUCUCACGCGCUCACCACACACGAACAAAGGGGUUGGAUAGAAAUAACUAACGGAUCAAGCCAAAGGACUCUGGGACAGACCGAUGUACUUAUUUAUUAGACACGUAGGUGCUCCCUAAUUAGGUGUCUGUUCUGCUUCUGGGCAACAUCAACAAUGACCAACAGGGCAGAUUCCUCCUUCUUGCCUCAACUUUAGGGUUCAACUCACCCUGGUACAAGGUUCAGCUCGGCUUCACUCGGUGCAAACCCAGUCACCAGAGCACAAACGCGGAGGUUGGGCUCAAAAAGAGUGGGAAAGUGCGGCACGGCGUCAACAAGGGUGCAACCCGAAAGAGCGCUGGGACGGAAGAGGCAGACCGCACGCAAGCCACGCGGUUAUAGACCCGCGUCGGGUACCAACGCCCAAUGCAAUUUGUACGCAACACGACAAGCUUGAGCAUGGGUACCAGCGUCCAAAAACUUGACUGUCCCGCUAGGCAACUGGCUGCUCACUUCCUGAAAUUGGCCACCAAGGAGGGGCAUUCUGGGAGAAAGGGCAAAGGUCAGAGGUCGAGCAGAAGCAGGAGCAGAAGCCAUGGAGGAAAGAAGCACAGACAAAAAAGCAAAACGAAGGAGACUUAAAGCAGCAGUCUCAUCAUAUCAAGAGACUGGGGAUCCAAGUGAACAUGCUGAACGGGAGAACACCAGAACACCCACCGUGGCUGAUAUGAAAUUGUACCGACAAUUUGAAUAACAUGAAGACUUCUGCCAAGUGACAGUGCUAUUUUAAAAACAUUUCUAACUGGAAAGUAAGCAGACACACAGGCUAAAGUGUUUUGAGGAGUAAUGCAACGUUGCUUAAUGCCCUGUGCCUUUCCUUUAAUACAGACUACUGCUGCAUUACCAAGCACACAAUGGUUAUGGUGUGUGCGCAUGUACAUGUAACUAUGUGAAGAUGGUAGACAAACAUGGCUAACAUGAAUAAGCAAUAAGGACUGAUUACAAAUGCAACUUGAAUGCUAUUAAAUAAAGGAGACAAGUACCUAUAUAUGUACAUGUAUGAUUGUAAAUGCAUGCAGAAGAGAAGUCUUAUCCUUCCAACUUGUCAAAUGUUUUGCUGUAAAUAUACAGUUCUUUACUGUUUUGCUUAGGCACUAUUCAAGACGGCUGGGCACUAUUCAUAGAGUUGCAUACAAUCGAAAGAAGACAAAGUGGGAAAGCUGAAGAUUUGUGAAGAGAUCUACAACAAAUUUAGGAUACAACGAAUGUUUUUACAUGGACCCGGGGAUUUCGUAAUAAUGAGAGUCGACUGUAUUCAAGAAGGCUGAUAUAUCUGAAAAAGGAGGUGCAACUUCUUGUCUGACUUCUUUAGAUUUUUGUGUAAUUCUGACUGCGCGCUAUGCCGAGUCUUGUUUCGCACAGAGAAUUCUUCAUAUGCUGAAUACAUGUAUUUCUAAAGAGAUCUUUGCACUACUAAACUGGGGAUAUGCAUUUGAUUACGGGCUGUACAGGUUGUUGCAAUGUAUGAAUUUUCACCUUCUUUGAAGCAGAGAAAUGUCAACCUUUUUAUUCUACGGAGAUGAAAAUUUAUGGGCCAAAGCAGAUGUCAUCCAUAUAGUACCUUCAUAGCUGUUAACACAAAUGUACAUGUAUAUCAUUUUUCUACAUUUGUUCUUGGAGUUACCGGGUACAAUGUACAUUUAGUGACACUUUUUGAUUAUUAUUUAACCAUGUAUAGCAGCCUGUCUGGACAAUAGAAAUGGCAAAUAUUUCUUCAAAUUUUGUUGGUAGGUAAUUUUUAAGGACAGUCUUCUUGCAUUUUUUUCUUAUACUUUUUUGACAAAAACCUUGUGUGAUAAAAGCAAACUAAUGCCCUGUCAAAAGUAUUGAUAAAAGGAUUUUCGUUGAGUGGAAAAAGUACCGCCUUCUUGUUUAAUAUGUCAAAUGAAAGUAUUUAAAUCUUGCCUGUAUUUUUGUAGCUCAAAAUGAUUUGGGUGAAAAUAAGCUGCGCUGGAUUUUCUCUGCAUGUUUCCUUUAAAGAGAGCUGAAUACAUGUACUAUUUAAGAGAGCUGCACACUAGCUGUAUAUAUUGAGGAGGCGUAUGAACUGUUAGCAUACACAUACAUGUACCAUGCAGUCAAGCAAAGGUGUAUGGGUAAUUCCAGACAU
rnacentral:lncRNA from 1 species